UACGUAGGGACCGAGCGUUGUCCGGAAUCAUUGGGCGUAAAGAGCGUGUAGGCGGCCACUUAAGUCCUGCGUGAAAUCUUGCGGCUCAACCGCAAGCGGUCGUGGGAAACUGGGUGGCUAGAGUGCGGGAGAGGAGAGUGGAAUUCCUGGUGUAGCGGUGGAAUGCGCAGAUAUCAGGAAGAACACCCGUGGCGAAGGCGGCCCCUG
rnacentral:rRNA from 1 species